rnacentral:rRNA from 1 species
GACGAACGCUGGCGGCGUGCUUAACACAUGCAAGUCGAACGGAAAGGCCCUGCUUUUGUGGGGUGCUCGAGUGGCGAACGGGUGAGUAACACGUGAGUAACCUGCCCUUGACUUUGGGAUAACUUCAGGAAACUGGGGCUAAUACCGGAUAGGAGCUCCUGCUGCAUGGUGGGGGUUGGAAAGUUUCGGCGGUUGGGGAUGGACUCGCGGCUUAUCAGCUUGUUGGUGGGGUAGUGGCUUACCAAGGCUUUGACGGGUAGCCGGCCUGGGAGGGUGACCGGCCACAUUGGGACUGAGAUACGGCCCAGACUCCUACGGGAGGCAGCAGUGGGGAAUAUUGCACAAUGGGCGGAAGCCUGAUGUAGCAACGCCGCGUGCGGGAUGACGGCCUUCGGGUUGUAAACCGCUUUCGCCUGUGACGAAGCGGGAGUGACGGUAAUGGGUAAAGAAGCACCGGCUAACUACGUG